rnacentral:rRNA from 1 species
GAGUUUGAUCGUGGCUCAGAUUGAACGCUGGCGGCAUGCCUUACACAUGCAAGUCGAACGGCAGCACGGGAGCUUGCUCCUGGUGGCGAGUGGCGAACGGGUGAGUAAUGCAUCGGAACGUAUCCUGGAGUGGGGGAUAACGUAGCGAAAGUUACGCUAAUACCGCAUAUUCUGUGAGCAGGAAAGCGGGGGACCUUCGGGCCUCGCGCUCUUGGAGCGGCCGAUGUCGGAUUAGCUAGUUGGUGAGGUAAAGGCUCACCAAGGCGACGAUCCGUAGCAGGUCUGAGAGGAUGAUCUGCCACACUGGAACUGAGACACGGUCCAGGCUCCUACGGGAGGCAGCAGUGGGGAAUUUUGGACAAUGGGGGCAACCCUGAUCCAGCCAUGCCGCGUGAGUGAAGAAGGCC